AAGGGAGACCUAAUUCGGGUAGGAGACGAAAAAAAAGUAGUCGCUACCAAGAAUCGAUCCCAAAAGGUCGGAGCGAGGCGAAAUUGGCUUUCAAACUAGGUUCUGGGUUCACACAAGACCUGAAUCAGGAGCAAGGGCUAUUAGCUCAGGUGGUUAGAGCGCACCCCUGAUAAGGGUGAGGUCCCUGGUUCGAGUCCAGGAUGGCCCACCUGUACAGGUGGCCAAAACCAAGAAAAGAAGCGAGGAAUCAGCACCUGCUCUUACCUACAUAGUAAGAGAGAAUGCUGGCUCUGAGUACAGAGUCCAGAGGAACCUUGAAAACUGCAUAGAGCUAGGUGAAAAAGCCAAAAAAGAAGACCGCAA
rnacentral:tRNA from 1 species